AACGAACGCUGGCGGCAGGCUUAACACAUGCAAGUCGAACGCCCCGCAAGGGGAGUGGCAGACGGGUGAGUAACGCGUGGGAAUCUACCUAGUUCUACGGAACAACACAGGGAAACUUGUGCUAAUACCGUAUACGCCCUACGGGGGAAAGAUUUAUCGGAAUUAGAUGAGCCCGCGUAAGAUUAGCUAGUUGGUGGGGUAAUGGCCUACCAAGGCGACGAUCUUUAGCUGGUCUGAGAGGAUGAUCAGCCACACUGGGACUGAGACACGGCCCAGACUCCUACGGGAGGCAGCAGUGGGGAAUAUUGGACAAUGGGCGAAAGCCUGAUCCAGCCAUGCCGCGUGAGUGAUGAAGGCCUUAGGGUUGUAAAGCUCUUUCAGUAGGGAAGAUAAUGACGGUACCCGCAGAAGAAGUCCCGGCUAACUUCGUGCCAGCCGCCGCAGUAAUAC
rnacentral:rRNA from 1 species